GUAGGGAGCAAGCGUUGUCCGGAUUUACUGGGUGUAAAGGGUGCGUAGGCGGCUUUGCAAGUCAGAUGUGAAAUCUAUGGGCUCAACCCAUAAACUGCAUUUGAAACUGUAGAGCUUGAGUGAAGUAGAGGCAGGCGGAAUUCCCCGUGUAGCGGUGAAAUGCGUAGAGAUGGGGAGGAACACCAGUGGCGAAGGCGGCCUGCUGGGCUUUAACUGACGCUGAGGCACGAAAGCGUGAGUAGCAAACAGGAUUAGAUACCCUGGUAGUCCACGCUGUAAACGAUGAUUACUAGGUGUGGGGGGUCUGACCCCUUCCGUGCCGGAGUUAACACAAUAAGUAAUCCACCUGGGGAGUACGGCCGCAAGGUUG
rnacentral:rRNA from 1 species